AGAAUGAACGCUGGCGGCAUGCCUAACACAUGCAAGUCGAACGAAGCCUUCGGGCUUAGUGGCGCACGGGUGCGUAACGCGUGGGAAUCUGCCCUUGGGCUCGGAAUAACAGCUAGAAAUGGCUGCUAAUACCGGAUGAUGACGUAAGUCCAAAGAUUUAUCGCCCAAGGAUGAGCCCGCGUAGGAUUAGCUAGUUGGUGAGGUAAAGGCUCACCAAGGCGACGAUCCUUAGCUGGUCUGAGAGGAUGAUCAGCCACACUGGGACUGAGACACGGCCCAGACUCCUACGGGAGGCAGCAGUGGGGAAUAUUGGACAAUGGGCGAAAGCCUGAUCCAGCAAUGCCGCGUGAGUGAUGAAGGCCUUAGGGUUGUAAGCUCUUUUACCCGGGAUGAUAAUGACAGUACCGGAGAAUAAGCUCCGGCUAACUCCGUGCCAGCAGCCGC
rnacentral:rRNA from 1 species